GACGAAUGCUGGCGGCGUGCUUAACACAUGCCAGUCGAACGGAAAGGCCCUGCUUUUGUGGGGUGCUCGAGUGGCGAACGGGUGAGUAACACGUGAGUAACCUGCCCUUGACUUUGGGAUAACUCCAGGAAACUGGGGCUAAUACCGGAUAGGAGCUCCUGCUGCAUGGUGGGGGUUGGAAAGUUUCGGCGGUUGGGGAUGGACUCGCGGCUUAUCAGCUUGUUGGUGGGGUAGUGGCUUACCAAGGCUUUGACGGGUAGCCGGCCUGAGAGGGUGACCGGCCACAUUGGGACUGAGAUACGGCCCAGACUCCUACGGGAGGCAGCAGUGGGGAAUAUUGCACAAUGGGCGGAAGCCUGAUGCAGCAACGCCGCGUGCGGGAUGACGGCCUUCGGGUUGUAAACCGCUUUCGCCUGUGACGAAGCGUGAGUGACGGUAAUGGGUAAAGAAGCACCGGCUAACUACGUG
rnacentral:rRNA from 1 species